AGGUGCCGCAGCAAUGCGGUCUCAGCAAAGAGUCCCUCCCGACUGUUUACCAAAAACACAGCACUUUGCCAACUCGUAAGAGGAAGUAUAAGGUGUGACGCCUGCCCGGUGCUCGAAGGUUAAGAGGAUGCGUCAGUCGCAAGAUGAAGCGUUGAAUUGAAGCCCGAGUAAACGGCGGCCGUAACUAUAACGGUCCUAAGGUAGCGAAAUUCCUUGUCGGUUAAAUACCGACCUGCAUGAAUGGCGUAACGAGAUGGGAGCUGUCUCAACCAGAGAUUCAGUGAAAUUGUAGUGGAGGUGAAAAUUCCUCCUACCCGCGGCAAGACGGAAAGACCCCGUGGACCUUUACUACAACUUAGCACUGCUAAUGGGAAUAUCAUGCGCAGGAUAGGUGGGAGGCUUUGAAGUAAGGGCUUUGGCUCUUAUGGAGCCAUCCUUGAGAUACCACCCUUGAUGUUUCUGUUAGCUAACUGGCCUGUGUUAUCCACAGGCAGGACAAUGCUUGGUGGGUAGG
rnacentral:rRNA from 1 species